rnacentral:rRNA from 1 species
GACGAACGCUGGCGGCGUGCCUAAUACAUGCAAGUAGAACGCAGUUGCGAACGGGUGAGUAACGCGUAGGUAACUGCCUGGUAGCGGGGGCUAACUAUUGGAAACGAUAGCUAAUACCGCAUACUACCAGAUGGACCUGCGUUGUAUUUGCUAGUUGGUGAGGUAACGGCUCACCAAGGCAACGAUACAUAGCCGACCCGAGAGGGUGAUCGGCCCCACUGGGACGUGGACCACGCCCAGACUCCUACGGGAGGCAGCAGUAGGGAAUCUUCGGCAAUGGGGGGAACCCUGACCGAGCAACUCCGCGUGAGGGAAGAAGGUUUUUGGAUCGUAAAGCUACUUUGUUAAGGGAGCGGUACUUAACCAGAAAGGAACGGCUAACUCCGUGCCAGCAGCCGCGGUAAUUC